GUGGGGAAUUUUGGACAAUGGGCGCAAGCCUGAUCCAGCCAUGCCGCGUGAGUGAAGAAGGCCUUCGGGUUGUAAAGCUCUUUCAGCCGGAAAGAAAUCGCCACUUCUAAUACGAGUGGUGGAUGACGGUACCGGAAGAAGAAGCACCGGCUAACUACGUGCCAGCAGCCGCGGUAAUACGUAGGGUGCGAGCGUUAAUCGGAAUUACUGGGCGUAAAGCGUGCGCAGGCGGUUCUGUAAGACAGAUGUGAAAUCCCCGGGCUCAACCUGGGAACUGCAUUUGUGACUGCAAGACUAGAGUGUAGCAGAGGGGGGUAGAAUUCCACGUGUAGCAGUGAAAUGCGUAGAGAUGUGGAGGAAUACCGAUGGCGAAGGCAGCCCCCUGGGUUAACACUGACGCUCAUGCACGAAAGCGUGGGGAGCAAACAGGAUUAGAUACCCCGGUAGUCC
rnacentral:rRNA from 1 species